rnacentral:rRNA from 1 species
CUGCAAGUCGAGCGAACAGACGAGGAGCUUGCUCCUCUGACGUUAGCGGCGGACGGGUGAGUAACACGUGGAUAACCUACCUAUAAGACUGGGAUAACUUCGGGAAACCGGAGCUAAUACCGGAUAACAUGUUGAACCGCAUGGUUCAACAGUGAAAGACGGUCUUGCUGUCACUUAUAGAUGGAUCCGCGCCGCAUUAGCUAGUUGGUAAGGUAACGGCUUACCAAGGCAACGAUGCGUAGCCGACCUGAGAGGGUGAUCGGCCACACUGGAACUGAGACACGGUCCAGACUCCUACGGGAGGCAGCAGUAGGGAAUCUUCCGCAAUGGGCGAAAGCCUGACGGAGCAACGCCGCGUGAGUGAAGAAGGUCUUCGGAUCGUAAAACUCUGUUAUUAGGGAAGAACAAAUGUGUAAGUAACUAUGCACGUCUUGACGGUACCUAAUCAGAAAGCCACGGCUAACUACGUGCCAGCAGCCGCGGUAAUACGUAGGUGGCAAGCGUUAUCCGGAAUUAUUGGGCGUAAAGCGCGCGUAGGCGGUUUUUUAAGUCUGAUGUGAAAGCCCACGGCUCAACCGUGGAGGGUCAUUGGAAACUGGAAAACUUGAGUGCAGAAGAGGAAAGUGGAAUUCCAUGUGUAGCGGUGAAAUGCGCAGAGAUAUGGAGGAACACCAGUGGCGAAGGCGACUUUCUGGUCUGUAACUGACGCUGAUGUGCGAAAGCGUGGGGAUCAAACAGGAUUAGAUACCCUGGUAGUCCACGCCGUAAACGAUGAGUGCUAAGUGUUAGGGGGUUUCCGCCCCUUAGUGCUGCAGCUAACGCAUUAAGCACUCCGCCUGGGGAGUAC